GACGAACGCUGGCGGCGUACUUAACACAUGCAAGUCGAGCGGUAAGGCCCUUUCGGGGGUACACGAGCGGCGAACGGGUGAGUAACACGUGGGUGACCUGCCUUUAGCUCUGGGAUAAGCCUGGGAAACCUGGGUCUAAUACCGGAUAUGACCCUAUGGCGCAUGUUGUGGGGUGGAAAGCCUUGUGCGGCUAGGGAUGGGCCCGCGGCCUAUCAGCUUGUUGGUGGGGUGAUGGCCUACCAAGGCGACGACGGGUAGCCGGCCUGAGAGGGCGACCGGCCACACUGGGACUGAGACACGGCCCAGACUCCUACGGGAGGCAGCAGUGGGGAAUCUUGCGUCAAUGGGCGAAAGCCUGACGCACGCGACGCCGCGUGAGGGAUGACGGCC
rnacentral:rRNA from 1 species